CACAUGUGCCUUCGACCUCGAUGCUCGCCAUACGGGUAUGAUUCCUUCUCACUGACAUGCUCUGGGUGUUGUCAACUUUGACUCCACCUCGGAUGCACCACUCAUGUGUGAUAUAUCUUCACCAAGCGCAGGUUCCACAAGAAGAGCUAUAUCUAACAUAGCCUUUACAAUUGCAUUUUUUUAAUCAACAUAACAUGCAUUGCAUUAUUUCACCUCUAUGCAUAAAGUGGAAGUAAUUCCAUACACAAAAAUAGGCCAUCCACAUCACACCAGCUGAUGACUAAAGAUUAUGUUGCCCCAGGACUUGUCCGAAGGAGGAAACAAAGAAGCAAGAAAAACACACAAGAUGGAGCGGAAACUGCGCCCACAACACAUAACACAUACCAAGUGUGUGCAUCCAAAGGACGUGGAGAAAAAUACUUGGGACACUUCGAUGCAUCGAGGUCCCACACACCUCAUGUCUCCUGACAUGUCUCGAGUUCCUAGGGGCAACACGCCCUGGGGUAAACUAUAGGAAAAAGAGCAGAGAAGGCUACCCGAACCUUCAGAAGAAGGGCACGGUGUGUAGCUUCUGACGCCCCCAGGGUGUGUCUCCACGAGCCAAAAAAUGUCUAUGAGGGUUGCCUAGUCCACAUAGAUGGAUGGCCGCUAUCCCCCAACCAAGCAAAGAAGCAUUCCUCAAGAAAGUUCAAGCGAGCAGUCCUCACAAAAAAGAAAGAAAAAUCAAGAUCAACAAGUUGAAGAAACCCUCAAAGAGGGAAACGCAAAAGAAAGUUCAAGCAAAGCACUUCUCACAAAUGGAGAGAGUCACAACAACAAGUCCGAUGGUCCGAAGCACAAAGGAUCCACCGGAAGAAGGAUGAGGGUGGCUGUCUAUCACCCCUCAAUGCGACAUGGAAAAUCAUCUAGCCGUUUCCCAUAACCACUCCCCUAAACACUCAUACCUAUGUGUCUGGGUUCUCGAGGCACUGAUGGGGCCGUGAGGUAGCUGUGGGUUUAGUCGGUGCUGCGAAGUCUAGGGUAUGAAUUCCCACGGUUCUUUGGGGGCACCAUACAAGUGCGGUGUCUUCACACGAACACACACAAAAAUGCUUGAUUAUUGUCGUCAUGGUUUUUGCGACGACUCCCAACGAGCAAGUCCUUGGGCAGCCUUUUCUAAUGUCACACAUUUGGCUGGUGCUUAGCUAAAGGGCCAACAUAUGCAUAAAAAACAAAACAAAAAAUUUAAUGCAUAUUUUUAUUACAUAAUAUCAUACACACAUGCUUGCAUAUAUUUUCUCACCCUUAGGUGCAGCCAACAUCAUCGUCUUGGCACGCUUGUGGAACCUGCUCCAAGGAUAAACCUCUCUUGGACUGCAACAUCAUGCGUCCAUGAUGUCGCCGCGACUUCAGCUUCCAACUUCUACAUCAACUCACAUGCUAUGGGCACUGGGACAACACCGUGUCUAUGACAUCACCGAUGGAUUUCCGGCACCCCACCUCUACACCCAAAAAACACCAUGGGUACUGGGGGCAGCAACAUUUGUGUGCAUCCAUGACGUUGGCGAAUAGUGCAACACCGCUCGCUUGGUCCUCAACAUCGCCGAUGGCUCUCCGGCUUUUCAUCUCCUACAACAUU
rnacentral:lncRNA from 1 species